rnacentral:lncRNA from 1 species
CCUGCUUGUGUAUUUGUACCGCCAGAAUUCGAAGGAUAGGUGAUUGCGCUCAUUUUUUGACUUGCUAUUGCGGAAGGUAGAAAUUUAAAAUUGACUAUUGCUCCGGACGAAAAGGUGACUGCAGCAUAUCGGCAGCUAUAGAGCCCCUUUGCUUCGCACAUUCUUAUCGUUUGGGUCAACGCCUUUCGUCCUUCGCUAAAUUCACAUUGACCGACUGACGCUGAUCCAUCCAUAAUAAUGACAAUAUCCUCUUUAGUAAUUGCUCUUUUCUCUACACUUCCUGGAUGAAAGCCUAUGAAAUUG